GUACUCACUUCAGCAAACCCAUGCUAAAAUUGGAACGACACAGACAUGGUUAGUGUGGCCCCUCUGCAUGGAUGACAUGCAUAUUCAUGAAGCAUUCUGUAUUUUU